AUUGAACGCUGGCGGCAGGCCUAACACAUGCAAGUCGAGCGAGCGGCGGACGGGUGAGUAAUGUAUGGGGACUGCCCGAUAGAGGGGGAGAACUACUGGAAACGGUGGCUAAUACCGCAUACGGUCGGAUAACCCAUAUGGGAUUAGCUAGUAGGUAAGGUAAUGGCUUACCUAGGCGACGAUCCCUAGCUGGUAUGAGAGGAGGCUCAGCCCCACUGGGCCUGAGGCGCGGCCCAUACUCCUCCGGAGGCCGCAGUGGGGAAUAUUGCACAAUGGGCGCAAGCCUGAUGCAGCCGUGCCGCGUGUAUGAAGAAGGCCCUAGGGUUGUAAAGUACUUUCAGUCGUGAGGCGUUACCGACAGAAGAAGCACCGGCUAACUCCGUGCCAGCAGCCGCGGUAAUAC
rnacentral:rRNA from 1 species